CUACUCUAAAAUAAUUGCAUAACGAUGGUUGUUCGUUUGUUAUUAUUCCAUAAUAUACAGGCCAAAUCAUGGCUGACACCGACAGCAAGAAGAUCGAUCUACCAGACGGGCUAUGCGUUGAAAUAUCUCCUGACGGUUGUACAUACCACGAUGGUCUUUGCUUCCAUUGUUUGGUAACUGACGUCUACUACCCCACUAUGGAUGACUGCAAGAGCAAUUGCAACAAAUCCUCGUCUUUACAAGACGUGCUAGUUGCCACGACAACCUCCCCUCCUCCUCCUUUAUCUGCUCCUUAAUUUUCCGGCCUAGACAAUGGUUAUAUGUACAAGAUUGUCCCCUGAAAAUAAUGCCUAUGUGCGGAAACCAGUUAUGCAAUGCGAGUAAUAUACUGCAGCAGUUGUUGCUGAGUAUUUUGGUUUGGCAAAUCACAUUUGAACCUUUACUAGCAAUUGUUGGGAGAGCGAUGAAAUGACUCGCAAGCGCAGAUGCUCCGGAAAUCUGAGUGGUACAGCUUAGCUUGGGAUCUGUGUCGGUUAAAUCUGUGUCACAUAUACGUUUUAGAAUACAGAGGUGAAUACAUCUGCAGAUGGGCUAUACUGGACCAUAGUACUAACUCCUCGCAAAGUCGCAAGUCUCCUCUCUUCAAGUCCAUCGAUGUCCCAUGCAAAAUAAAAUGAAAUAAGUCCAUCGAUCUCUCACUUAAAAAGAGUCCUAUGGCUAUGGAUGACCAGGGAGGCCGCCCUUGGCCAAUAUCAGGCGCCAGUGAGUUCGUCUACCCUGUCAUGGUGGGUUUCUCAUCUAUCCUACCUCUCAUGAGGCGUCCGGUUCUUGUCUUUCCCAAGCUCACAUUAAUAUUCCCAAAUCAGCCCUCGGCCGGCCUUGGCGACAUCAUCCUCAUCCACUCCCGUGCUGCACACACCCAUUUCUCUGAUCUCUUAAAGCAACUCUAGCCGAGCCCAUAAAAGAUACAGGAGUAUUUGGCCGGGUAAACCUUAAUGGAGUAAAUUUAGUCCACUAAGUUUUGGUCGGUUCUAGCUGAUCCCCUAAAUUUAGCGGAGUAAAAUCAAAUUUGGUUAAGAUGAACAUAGAUUCGAUCUAAACAAACUUCUAAACCAAAAUUCGACACAUAAUUUACAUUAUCAUCCGUCGAAACAUAGUUCAAAGCGAUACUAAAACUUGAACUCAAACAUAAGCUAAAAUCUAAAUCUAACCAAAAAAAUUAGUCGCUAUUCGACUUUGCGAGGGAGAGCAAGUCCUCCCUAGAGAUUCCACCGCCCAUGGGGUCAGUCCCUAGGUCGUCUUCGUUGUAUCCAGGAAGGUCCUUCACCACUCCUCGAUGUUGAAGCUGUCAUCGUUGCCGCCUCCACUGCCACCAUUGUUGCCGCCUCCACCGAGCCAGCUCGUCAUCGACCAGCGCCCACGUGCAUCUAGGGAUCAUACAUUCAACAGGGGGUGACUCCAUGAGUCAGGUGAUCCACAAAAACCGCAUGAGCUAGAGUCCGCCAUAUGGCUGUGUGCCCAAUAUCAUUUGUUGCUAAAGAAUGUAUGGAUAGAUGCCAAAGGAACAGCCUCACGUUUCCCGGCACCAGAACUUUCCAUAAACUUUUCCAUGAGCCCUCUUCAGCAGCCGAGGUGGAGGAACCAUCCCUUUGAUCUAAGCAUGACUAUUGGAGAACUAAUUACAAUUAUGAAAUAUACAAAUAUAGACAUAGGAGAUAAGUCCAACCAAAUUUGGGAACUUGUCUAAAAAGGGAGAAAAUUAGUCUGACUUGAUUUUGCUUUUAAUGAGGGUUCAUAAUAUAGGGUGAUAUUAAAUAAUCCAAUUUUAUUGCUUGAUGGUUUACACGGGAUAAGGAUGACCGGUUCUCUCUUCUCUCAAUAUAUACGAUCGACUCAUGUGCUCAUUGGUAACCAAACAUUUCUCAUCGACAACCAAAGUGACCUGAGUGCCUGCGUAGCUAGUGUUGUAUCUGGUUGGCCAUGGACAAGUACACGAUUCGCAUCCUUGCACUAGGAGCCCUAGUGUGUCUACAUCUCGUAUGCUCUGCUACUGUUGCUCAAUGUAAGGCAGCUAGCAUACCAAUAUUUAUGUAUCUUCACAAUGCUUAAUUUUUCUUCACUUGUCCUGGCUGGAAGUAUGUACCUAGUAUAGCUAUCAAAGGCCUUUCUAUUUUGCUUUGUAACUGGUUCCAUCGUUUAUAUGCAUAUAUAUACAUACACACUACUCUAAAAUAAUUGCAUAACGAUGGUUGUUCGUUUGUUAUUACUCCAUAAUAUACAGGCCAAAUCAUGGCUGACANNNNNNNNNNNNNNNNNNNNNNNNNNNNNNNNNNNNNNNNNNNNNNNNNNNNNNNNNNNNNNNNNNNNNNNNNNNNNNNNNNNNNNNNNNNNNNNNNNNNNNNNNNNNNNNNNNNNNNNNNNNCCAUAUGGCUGUGUGCCCAAUAUCAUUUGUUGCUAAAGAAUGUAUGGAUAGAUGCCAAAGGAACAGCCUCACGUUUCCCGGCACCAGAACUUUCCAUAAACUUUUCCAUGAGCCCUCUUCAGCAGCCGAGGUGGAGGAACCAUCCCUUUGAUCUAAGCAUGACUAUUGGAGAACUAAUUACAAUUAUGAAAUAUACAAAUAUAGACAUAGGAGAUAAGUCCAACCAAAUUUGGGAACUUGUCUAAAAAGGGAGAAAAUUAGUCUGACUUGAUUUUGCUUUUAAUGAGGGUUCAUAAUAUAGGAUGAUAUUAAAUAAUCCAAUUUUAUUGCUUGAUGGUUUACACGGGAUAAGGAUGACCGGUUCUCUCUUCUCUCAAUAUAUACGAUCGACUCAUGUGCUCAUUGGUAACCAAACAUUUCUCAUCGACAACCAAAGUGACCUGAGUGCCUGCGUAGCUAGUGUUGUAUCUGGUUGGCCAUGGACAAGUACACGAUUCGCAUCCUUGCACUAGGAGCCCUAGUGUGUCUACAUCUCGUAUGCUCUGCUACUGUUGCUCAAUGUAAGGCAGCUAGCACACCAAUAUUUAUGUAUCUUCACAAUGCUUAAUUUUUCUUCACUUGUCCUGGCUGGAAGUAUGUACCUAGUAUAGCUAUCAAAGGCCUUUCUAUUUUGCUUUGUAACUGGUUCCAUCGUUUAUAUGCAUAUAUAUACAUACACACUACUCUAAAAUAAUUGCAUAACGAUGGUUGUUCGUUUGUUAUUACUCCAUAAUAUACAGGCCAAAUCAUGGCUGACAACGACAGCAAGAAGAUCGAUCUACCAGACGGGCUAUGCGUUGAAAUAUCUCCUGACGGUUGUACAUACCACGAUGGUCUUUGCUUCCAUUGUUUGGUAACUGACGUCUACUACCCCACUAUGGAUGACUGCAAGAGCAAUUGCAACAAAUCCUCGUCUUUACAAGACGUGCUAGUUGCCAUGACAACCUCCCCUCCUCCUCCUUUAUCUGCUCCUUAAUUUUCCGGCCUAGACAAUGGUUAUAUGUACAAGAUUGUCCCCUGAAAAUAAUGCCUAUGUGCGGAAACCAGUUAUGCAAUGCGAGUAAUAUACUGCAGCAGUUGUUGCUGAGUAUUUUGGUUUGGCAAAUCACAUUUGAACCUUUACUAGGAAUUGUUGGGAGAGCGAUGAAAUGACUCGCAAGCGCAGAUGCUCCGGAAAUCUGAGUGGUACAGCUUAGCUUGGGAUCUGUGUCGGUUAAAUCUGUGUCACAUAUACGUUUUAGAAUACAGAGGUGAAUACAUCUGCAGAUGGGCUAUACUGGACCAUAGUACUAACUCCUCGCAAAGUCGCAAGUCUCCUCUGUUCAAGUCCAUCGAUGUCCCAUGCAAAAUAAAAUGAAAUAAGUCCAUCGAUCUCUCACUUAAAAAGAGUCCUAUGGCUAUGGAUGACCAGGGAGGCCGCCCUUGGCCAAUAUCCGGCGCCGGUGAGUUCGUCUACCCUGUCAUGGUGGGUUUCUCAUCUAUCCUACCUCUCAUGAGGCGUCCGGUUCUUGUCUUUCCCAAGCUCACAUUAAUAUUCCCAAAUCAGCCCUCGGCCGGCCUUGGCGACAUCAUCUUCAUCCACUCCCGUGCUGCACACACCCAUUUCUCUGAUCUCUUAAAGCAACUCUAGCCGAGCCCAUAAAAGAUACAGGAGUAUUUGGCCGGGUAAACCUUAAUGGAGUAAAUUUAGUCCACUAAGUUUUGGUCGGUUCUAGCUGAUCCCCUAAAUUUAGCGGAGUAAAAUAAAAUUUGGUUAAGAUGAACAUAGAUUCGAUCUAAACAAACUUCUAAACCGAAAUUCGACACGUAAUUUACAUUAUCAUCCGUCGAAACAUAGUUCAAAGUGAUACUAAAACUUGAACUCAAACAUAAGCUAAAAUCUAAAUCUAACCAAAAAAAUUAGUCGCUAUUCGACUUUGCGAGGGAGAGCAAGUCCUCCCUAGAGAUUCCACCGCCCAUGGGGUCAGUCCCUAGGUCGUCUUCGUUGUAUCCAGGAAGGUCCUUCACCACUCCUCGAUGUUGAAGCUGUCAUCGUUGCCGCCUCCACUGCCACCAUUGUUGCCGCCUCCACCGAGCCAGCUCGUCAUCGACCAGCGCCCACGUGCAUCUAGGGAUCAUACAUUCAACAGGGGGUGACUCCAUGAGUCAGGUGAUCCACAAAAACCGCAUGAGCUAGAGUCCGCCAUAUGGCUGUGUGCCCAAUAUCAUUUGUUGCUAAAGAAUGUAUGGAUAGAUGCCAAAGGAACAGCCUCACGUUUCCCGGCACCAGAACUUUCCAUAAACUUUUCCAUGAGCCCUCUUCAGCAGCCGAGGUGGAGGAACCAUCCCUUUGAUCUAAGCAUGACUAUUGGAGAACUAAUUACAAUUAUGAAAUAUACAAAUAUAGACAUAGGAGAUAAGUCCAACCAAAUUUGGGAACUUGUCUAAAAAGGGAGAAAAUUAGUCUGACUUGAUUUUGCUUUUAAUGAGGGUUCAUAAUAUAGGAUGAUAUUAAAUAAUCCAAUUUUAUUGCUUGAUGGUUUACACGGGAUAAGGAUGACCGGUUCUCUCUUCUCUCAAUAUAUACGAUCGACUCAUGUGCUCAUUGGUAACCAAACAUUUCUCAUCGACAACCAAAGUGACCUGAGUGCCUGCGUAGCUAGUGUUGUAUCUGGUUGGCCAUGGACAAGUACACGAUUCGCAUCCUUGCACUAGGAGCCCUAGUGUGUCUACAUCUCGUAUGCUCUGCUACUGUUGCUCAAUGUAAGGCAGCUAGCAUACCAAUAUUUAUGUAUCUUCACAAUGCUUAAUUUUUCUUCACUUGUCCUGGCUGGAAGUAUGUACCUAGUAUAGCUAUCAAAGGCCUUUCUAUUUUGCUUUGUAACUGGUUCCAUCGUUUAUAUGCAUAUAUAUACAUACACACUACUCUAAAAUAAUUGCAUAACGAUGGUUGUUCGUUUGUUAUUACUCCAUAAUAUACAGGCCAAAUCAUGGCUGACACCGACAGCAAGAAGAUCGAUCUACCAGACGGGCUAUGCGUUGAAAUAUCUCCUGACGGUUGUACAUACCACGAUGGUCUUUGCUUCCAUUGUUUGGUAACUGACGUCUACUACCCCACUAUGGAUGACUGCAAGAGCAAUUGCAACAAAUCCUCGUCUUUACAAGACGUGCUAGUUGCCAUGACAACCUCCCCUCCUCCUCCUUUAUCUGCUCCUUAAUUUUCCGGCCUAGACAAUGGUUAUAUGUACAAGAUUGUCCCCUGAAAAUAAUGCCUAUGUGCGGAAACCAGUUAUGCAAUGCGAGUAAUAUACUGCAGCAGUUGUUGCUGAGUAUUUUGGUUUGGCAAAUCACAUUUGAACCUUUACUAGGAAUUGUUGGGAGAGCGAUGAAAUGACUCGCAAGCGCAGAUGCUCCGGAAAUCCGAGUGGUACAGCUUAGCUUGGGAUCUGUGUCGGUUAAAUCUGUGUCACAUAUACGUUUUAGAAUACAGAGGUGAAUACAUCUGCAGAUGGGCUAUACUGGACCAUAGUACUAACUCCUCGCAAAGUCGCAAGUCUCCUCUCUUCAAGUCCAUCGAUGUCCCAUGCAAAAUAAAAUGAAAUAAGUCCAUCGAUCUCUCACUUAAAAAGAGUCCUAUGGCUAUGGAUGACCAGGGAGGCCGCCCUUGGCCAAUAUCCGGCGCCGGUGAGUUCGUCUACCCUGUCAUGGUGGGUUUCUCAUCUAUCCUACCUCUCAUGAGGCGUCCGGUUCUUGUCUUUCCCAAGCUCACAUUAAUAUUCCCAAAUCAGCCCUCGGCCGGCCUUGGCGACAUCAUCUUCAUCCACUCCCGUGCUGCACACACCCAUUUCUCUGAUCUCUUAAAGCAACUCUAGCCGAGCCCAUAAAAGAUACAGGAGUAUUUGGCCGGGUAAACCUUAAUGGAGUAAAUUUAGUCCACUAAGUUUUGGUCGGUUCUAGCUGAUCCCCUAAAUUUAGCGGAGUAAAAUAAAAUUUGGUUAAGAUGAACAUAGAUUCGAUCUAAAUAAACUUCUAAACCGAAAUUCGACACGUAAUUUACAUUAUCAUCCGUCGAAACAUAGUUCAAAGUGAUACUAAAACUUGAACUCAAACAUAAGCUAAAAUCUAAAUCUAACCAAAAAAAUUAGUCGCUAUUCGACUUUGCGAGGGAGAGCAAGUCCUCCCUAGAGAUUCCACCGCCCAUGGGGUCAGUCCCUAGGUCGUCUUCGUUGUAUCCAGGAAGGUCCUUCACCACUCCUCGAUGUUGAAGCUGUCAUCGUUGCCGCCUCCACUGCCACCAUUGUUGCCGCCUCCACCGAGCCAGCUCGUCAUCGACCAGCGCCCACGUGCAUCUAGGGAUCAUACAUUCAACAGGGGGUGACUCCAUGAGUCAGGUGAUCCACAAAAACCGCAUGACCUAGAGUCCGCCAUAUGGCUGUGUGCCCCAACAUCAUUUGUUGGUAAAGAAUGUAUGGAUAGAUGCCAAAGGAACAGCCUCACGUUUCCCGGCACCAGAACUUUCCAUAAACUUUUCCAUGAGCCCUCUUCAGCAGCCGAGGUGGAGGAACCAUCCCUUUGAUCUAAGCAUGACUAUUGGAGAAUUAAUUACAAUUCUGAAAUAUACAAAUAUAGACAUAGGAGAUAAGUCCAACCAAAUUUGGGAACUUGUCUAAAAAGGGAGAAAAUUAGUCUGACUUGAUUUGUGCUUUUAAUGAGGGUUCAUAAUAUAGGAUGAUAUUAAAUAAAUCCAAUUUUAUUGCUUGAUGGUUUACACGGGAUAAGGAUGACCGGUUCUCUCUUCUCUCAAUAUAUACGAUCGACUCAUGUGCUCAUUGGUAACCAAACAUUUCUCAUCGACAACCAAAGUGACCUGAGAGCUUGCGUAGCUACUGUUGUAUCUGGUUGGCCAUGGACAAGUACACGAUUCGCAUCCUUGCACUAGGAGCCCUAGUGUGUCUACAUCUCGUAUGCUCUGCUACUGUUGCUCAAUGUAAGGCAGCUAGCACACCCAUAUUUAUGUAUCUUCACAAUGCUUAAUUUUUCUUCACUUGUCCUGGCUGGAAGUAUGUACCUAGUAUAGCUAUCAAAGGCCUUUCUAUUUUGCUUCGUAACUGGUUCCAUCGUUUAUAUGCAUAUAUAUACAUACACACUACUCUAAAAUAAUUGCAUAACGAUGGUUGUUCGUUUGUUAUUAUUCCAUAAUAUACAGGCCAAAUCAUGGCUGACACCGACAGCAAGAAGAUCGAUCUACCAGACGGGCUAUGCGUUGAAAUAUCUCCUGACGGUUGUACAUACCACGAUGGUCUUUGCUUCCAUUGUUUGGUAACUGACGUCUACUACCCCACUAUGGAUGACUGCAAGAGCAAUUGCAACAAAUCCUCGUCUUUACAAGACGUGCUAGUUGCCAUGACAACCUCCCCUCCUCCUCCUUUAUCUGCUCCUUAAUUUUCCGGCCUAGACAAUGGUUAUAUGUACAAGAUUGUCCCCUGAAAAUAAUGCCUAUGUGCGGAAACCAGUUAUGCAAUGCGAGUAAUAUACUGCAGCAGUUGUUGCUGAGUAUUUUGGUUUGGCAAAUCACAUUUGAACCUUUACUAGGAAUUGUUGGGAGAGCGAUGAAAUGACUCGCAAGCGCAGAUGCUCCGGAAAUCCGAGUGGUACAGCUUAGCUUGGGAUCUGUGUCGGUUAAAUCUGUGUCACAUAUACGUUUUAGAAUACAGAGGUGAAUACAUCUGCAGAUGGGCUAUACUGGACCAUAGUACUAACUCCUCGCAAAGUCGCAAGUCUCCUCUCUUCAAGUCCAUCGAUGUCCCAUGCAAAAUAAAAUGAAAUAAGUCCAUCGAUCUCUCACUUAAAAAGAGUCCUAUGGCUGUGGAUGACCAGGGAGGCCGCCCUUGGCCAAUAUCCGGCACCGGUGAGUUCGUAUACCCUGUCAUGGUGGGUUUCUCAUCUAUCCUACCUCUCAUGAGGCGUCCGGUUCUUGUCUUUCCCAAGCUCACAUUAAUAUUCCCAAAUCAGCCAUCGGCCGGCCUUGGCGACAUCAUCUUCAUCCACUCCCGUGCUGCACACACCCAUUUCUCUGAUCUCUUAAAGCAACUCUAGCCGAGCCCAUAAAAGAUACAGGAGUAUUUGGCCGGGUAAACCUUAAUGGAGUAAAUUUAGUCCACUAAGUUUUGGUCGGUUCUAGCUGAUCCCCUAAAUUUAGCGGAGUAAAAUAAAAUUUGGUUAAGAUGAACAUAGAUUCGAUCUAAACAAACUUCUAAACUGAAAUUCGACACGUAAUUUACAUUAUCAUCCGUCGAAACAUAGUUCAAAGCGAUACUAAAACUUGAACUCAAACAUAAGCUAAAAUCUAAAUCUAACCAAAAAAAUUAGUCGCUAUUCGACUUUGCGAGGGAGAGCAAGUCCUCCCUAGAGAUUCCACCGCCCAUGGGGUCAGUCCCUAGGUCGUCUUUGUUGUAUCCAGGAAGGUCCUUCACCACUUAUCGAUGUUGAAGCUGUCAUCGUUGCCGCCUCCACUGCCACCAUUGUUGCCGCCUCCACCGAGCCAGCUCGUCAUCGACCAGCGCCCACGUGCAUCUAGGGAUCAUACAUUCAACAGGGGGUGACUCCAUGAGUCAGGUGAUCCACAAAAACCGCAUGAGCUAGAGUCCACCAUAUGGCUGUGUGCCCAAUAUCAUUUGUUGCUAAAGAAUGUAUGGAUAGAUGCCAAAGGAACAGCCUCACGUUUCCCGGCACUAGAACUUUCCAUAAACUUUUCCAUGAGCCCUCUUCAGCAGCCGAGGUGGAGGAACCAUCCCUUUGAUCUAAGCAUGACUAUUGGAGAAUUAAUUACAAUUAUGAAAUAUACAAAUAUAGACAUAGGAGAUAAGUCCAACCAAAUUUGGGAACUUGUCUAAAAAGGGAGAAAAUUAGUCUGACUUGAUUUGUGCUUUUAAUGAGGGUUCAUAUUAUAGGAUGAUAUUAAAUAAAUCCAAUUUUAUUGCUUGAUGGUUUACACGGGAUAAGGAUGACCAGUUCUCUCUUCUCUCAAUAUAUACGAUCGAUUCAUGUGCUCAUUGGUAACCAAACAUUUCUCAUCGACAACCAAAGUGACCUGAGAGCUUGCGUAGCUAGUGUUGUAUCUGGUUGGCCAUGGACAAGUACACGAUUCGCAUCCUUGCACUAGGAGCCCUAGUGUGUCUACAUCUCGUAUGCUCUGCUACUGUUGCUCAAUGUAAGGCAGCUAGCACACCGAUAUUUAUGUAUCUUCACAAUGCUUAAUUUUUCUUCACUUGUCCUGGCUGGAAGUAUGUACCUAGUAUAGCUAUCAAAGGCCUUUCUAUUUUGCUUUGUAACUGGUUCCAUCGUUUAUAUGCAUAUAUAUACAUACACACUACUCUAAAAUAAUUGCAUAACGAUGGUUGUUCGUUUGUUAUUAUUCCAUAAUAUAUAGGCCAAAUCAUGGCUGACACCGAUAGCAAGAAGAUCGAUCUACCAGACGGGCUAUGCGUUAAAAUAUCUCCUGAUGGUUGUACAUACCACGAUGGUCUUUGCUUCCAUUGUUUGGUAACUGACGUCUACUACCACACUAUGGAUGACUGCAAGAGCAAUUGUAACAAAUCCUCGUCUUUACAAGACGUGCUAGUUGCCAUGACAACCUCCCCUCCUCCUCCUUUAUCUGCUCCUUAAUUUUCCGGCCUAGACAAUGGUUAUAUGUACAAGAUUGUCCCCUGAAAAUAAUGCGUAUGUGCGGAAACCAGUUAUGCAAUGCGAGUAAUAUACUGCAGCAGUUGUUGCUGAGUAUUUUGGUUUGGCAGAUCACAUUUGAACCUUUACUAGCAAUUGUUGGGAGAGCGAUGAAAUGACUCGCAAGCGCAGAUGCUCCGGAAAUCUGAGUGGUACAACUUAGCUUGGGAUCUGUGUCAGUUAACUCUUUGUCACAUAUACGUUUUAGAAUACAGAGGUGAAUACAUUUGCAGAUGGGCCAUACUGGACCAUAGUACUCAGUACUCGCAAAGUCACAAGUCUCCUCUCUUCAAGUCCAUCGAUGUCCCAUGCAAAAUAAAAUGAAAUAAGUUCAUCGAUCUCUCGCUUAAAAAGAGUCCUAUGGCUGUGGAUGACCAAGGAGGCCGCCCUUGGCCAAUAUCCGGCACCAGUGAGUUCUUCUACCCUGUCAUGGUGGGUUUCGCAU
rnacentral:lncRNA from 1 species